GACGAACGCUGGCGGCGUGCCUAAUACAUGCAAGUAGAACGCUGAAGCGAGGAGCUUGCUCUUCUUGGAUGAGUUGCGAACGGGUGAGUAACGCGUAGGUAACCUGCCUUGUAGCGGGGGAUAACUAUUGGAAACGAUAGCUAAUACCGCAUAACAAUGGAUGACACAUGUCAUUUAUUUGAAAGGGGCAAUUGCUCCACUACAAGAUGGACCUGCGUUGUAUUAGCUAGUAGGUGAGGUAACGGCUCACCUAGGCGACGAUACAUAGCCGACCUGAGAGGGUGAUCGGCCACACUGGGACUGAGACCCGGCCCAGACUCCUACGGGAGGCAGCAGUAGGGAAUCUUCGGCAAUGGGGGCAACCCUGACCGAGCAACGCCGCGUGAGGGAAGAAGGUUUUCGGAUCGUAAAGCUCUGUUGUAAGUCAAGAACGAGUGUGAGAGUGGAAAGUUCACACUGUGACGGUAGCUUACCAGAAAGGGACGGCUAACUACGUG
rnacentral:rRNA from 1 species